ACACUCCUGCGGGAGGCAGCAGUGGGGAAUAUUGGACAAUGGGCGCAAGCCUGAUCCAGCCAUGCCGCGUGAGUGAUGAAGGCCCUAGGGUUGUAAAGCUCUUUCACCGGUGAAGAUAAUGACGGUAACCGGAGAAGAAGCCCCGGCUAACUUCGUGCCAGCAGCCGCGGUAAUACGAAGGGGGCUAGCGUUGUUCGGAUUUACUGGGCGUAAAGCGCACGUGGGCGGACUAUUAAGUCAGGGGUGAAAUCCCGGGGCUCAACCCCGGAACUGCCUUUGAUACUGGUAGUCUUGAGUUCGAGAGAGGUGAGUGGAAUUCCGAGUGUAGAGGUGAAAUUCGUAGAUAUUCGGAGGAACACCAGUGGCGAAGGCGGCUCACUGGCUCGAUACUGACGCUGAGGUGCGAAAGCGUGGGGAGCAAACAGGAUUAGAAACCCCAGUAGUCCCA
rnacentral:rRNA from 1 species